rnacentral:rRNA from 1 species
GACAGAGGUGCCGAGCGUUAGGCGGAAUCACUGGGCUUAAAGCGUGUGUAGGCGGAUCGUUAAGUACCUUGUGAAAUCCCACGGCUCACCGUGGAACGGCUGGGUAUACUGGCGGUCUUGGGCCAUUCAGGGGGCGACUGGAACAAGCGGUGGAGCGGUGAAAUGCGUAGAUAUCGCUUGGAACGCCGAAGGUGAAAACAGGUCGCUGGGGGAUGUGCCGCGUGAGACACGAAAGCCAGGGGAGCAAACGGG